UAGAGUUUGAUCCUGGCUCAGAUUGAACGCUGGCGGCAGGCCUAACACAUGCAAGUCGAGCGGUAACACAGGGGAGCUUGCUCCUUGGGUGACGAGCGGCGGACGGGUGAGUAAUGCCUGGGGACCUGCCCGAUAGAGGGGGAUAACUACGGGAAACUGUAGCUAAUACCGCAUAAUGUCUACGGACCAAAGUGGGGGCUCUUCGGACCUCAUGCUAUCGGAUGAACCCAGGUGGGAUUAGCUAGUUGGUGAGGUAAUGGCUCACCAAGGCGACGAUCUCUAACUGGUUUGAGAGAAUGACCAGUCACACUGGAACUGAGACACGGUCCAGACUCCUACGGGAGGCAGCAGUGGGGAAUAUUGCACAAUGGGCGCAAGCCUGAUGCAGCCAUGCCGCGUGUGUGAAGAAGGCCUUCGGGUUGUAAAGCACUUUCAGCGGGGAGGAAGGGUCACUAGUUAAUACCUAGUGGCAUUGACGUUACUCGCAGAAGAAGCACCGGCUAACUCCGUGCCAGCAGCCGCGGUAAUACGGAGGGUGCAAGCGUUAAUCGGAAUUACUGGGCGUAAAGCGCACGCAGGCGGUUUGUUAAGUCAGAUGUGAAAUCCCCGAGCUCAACUUGGGAACUGCAUUUGAAACUGGCAAGCUAGAGUCUUGUAGAGGGGGGUAGAAUUCCAGGUGUAGCGGUGAAAUGCGUAGAGAUCUGGAGGAAUACCGGUGGCGAAGGCGGCCCCCUGGACAAAGACUGACGCUCAGGUGCGAACGCGUGGGGAGCAAACAGGAAAGAUCCCCUGGUAGUCC
rnacentral:rRNA from 1 species